rnacentral:rRNA from 1 species
GUUGACCUCCACGCUACCCUGGAUGUGCUGAUUUCUGAUUCUGGAAGCUAAGCAGGGUUGGGCCAUGCUAGGACAUGAAUGGGAGACCACCAGGGAAUAGCCAACA